UACAGAGGUCCCAAGCGUUGUUCGGAUUCACUGGGCGUAAAGGGUGCGUAGGUGGUCGGGUAAGUCUGAUGUGAAAUCUCUGGGCUCAACCCAGAAAUGGCAUUGGAUACUAUUCGGCUCGAGGAGUGGAGGGGGGACUGGAAUACUUGGUGUAGCAGUGAAAUGCGCAGAUAUCAGGAGGAACACCCGUAGCGAAGGCGGCACUCUGGGCCGAUACUGACACUGAGGAGCGAAAGCGUGGGGAGCGAACAGG
rnacentral:rRNA from 1 species